rnacentral:rRNA from 1 species
ACGCUCGACACCUACGGGACGCAGCAGUGGGGAAUAUUGCACAAUGGGGGAAACCCUGAUGCAGCGACGCCGCGUGAGCGAAGAAGUAUUUCGGUAUGUAAAGCUCUAUCAGCAGGGAAGAAACUGACGGUACCUGACUAAGAAGCACCGGCUAAAUACGUGCCGANNCGCCGGAGUAUGNGACGGCGNGCGAGAG